rnacentral:rRNA from 1 species
GUGCCAGCCGCCGCGGUAAUACAGAGGGUGCGAGCGUUGUCCGGAAUCACUGGGCGUAAAGGGUGCGUAGGUGGCCAGGUAAGCGUGUGGUGAAAGUCCGGGGCUCAACCCCGGAUCUGCCGUGCGAACUGCCUAGCUUGAGCAAUGUAGAGGCAGGUGGAAUUUCGGGUGUAGCGGUGGAAUGCGUAGAUAUCCGAAAGAACACCAGUGGCGAAGGCGGCCUGCUGGGCAUUUGCUGACACUGAGGCACGACAGCGUGGGGAGCAAACAGGAUUAGAAACCCGCGUAGUCC